rnacentral:rRNA from 1 species
GAUGAACGCUGGCGGCGUGCCUAAUACAUGCAAGUCGAGCGCAUGGAUUAAGAGCUUGCUCUUAUGAAGUUAGCGGCGGACGGGUGAGUAACGCGUGGGUAACCUGCCCAUAAGACUGGGAUAACUCCGGGAAACCGGGGCUAAUACCGGAUGACAUUUUGAACCGCAUGGUUCGAAAUUGAAAGGCGGCUUCGGCUGUCACUUAUGGAUGGACCCGCGUCGCGUUAGCUAGUUGGUGAGGUAACGGCUCACCAAGGCAACGAUGCGUAGCCGACCUGGGAGGGUGAUCGGCCACACUGGGACUGAGACACGGCCCAGACUCCGACGGGAGGCAGCAGUAGGGAAUCUUCCGCAAUGGACGAAAGUCUGACGGAGCAACGCCGCGUGAGUGAUGAAGGCUUUCGGGUCGUAAAACUCUGUUGUUAGGGAAGAACAAGUGCUAGUUGAAUAAGCUGGCACCUUGACGGUACCUAACCAGAAAGCCACGGCUAACUACGUGCCAGCAGCCGCUGUAA